AGCGAACGCUGGCGGCAGGCCUAACACAUGCAAGUCGAACGAGACCUUCGGGUCUAGUGGCGCACGGGUGCGUAACGCGUGGGAAUCUGCCCUUUGCUACGGAAUAACUCAGAGAAAUUUGUGCUAAUACCGUAUAAUGUCGAAAGACCAAAGAUUUAUCGGCAAAGGAUGAGCCCGCGUAGGAUUAGCUAGUUGGUGAGGUAAAGGCUCACCAAGGCGACGAUCCUUAGCUGGUCUGAGAGGAUGAUCAGCCGCACUGGGACUGAGACACGGCCCAGACUCCUACGGGAGGCAGCAGUGGGGAAUAUUGGACAAUGGGCGAAAGCCUGAUCCAGCAAUGCCGCGUGAGUGAUGAAGGCCUUAGGGUUGUAAAGCUCUUUUACCCGGGAUGAUAAUGACAGUACCGGGAGAAUAAGCCCCGGCUAACUCCGUGCCAGCCGCCGCCGUAA
rnacentral:rRNA from 1 species